UACGUAGGGGGCUAGCGUUGUCCGGAUUUAUUGGGCGUAAAGAGCGUGUAGGCGGCCAAGUAGGUCCGGUGUGAAAACUCGAGGCUUAACCUCGAGAUGUCAUCGGAAACCAUUUGGCUAGAGUCCGGAAGAGGAAAGUGGAAUUCCUGGUGUAGCGGUGAAAUGCGCAGAUAUCAGGAGGAACACCGGUGGCGAAAGGCGGCUAUCUGGGACAGAGUCUGACGCUGAGGCGCGAAAGCUAGGGGAGCAAACAGG
rnacentral:rRNA from 1 species